CCUUCUGUUGCUUCAAUUAACACCGCUAUCCCGCAAUCGUUCAUCAUCAUCGGCGACAAACGCCACCGUCGUUUAUCAUCACCGGCGUCAAUUGCCACCAUCGUUUAUAAUCACCGAUGUCCAUCACCACCGCCGCCCGUCAUCAUCAUCGGUGUCCAUCACCACCGCCGCCAUCACUGCGUUACGGCCGCCGCAAUCAAUAACCAGCGCCGUUAUUCAAAUCUGGGCACCGCUGUUAAGUUGUCGGAGUUGACUAAAUAAACGGCGCCAUCGUCCAUCGAUGUUGUGUGAUUUGAAUUUCAAAUAUUUGGGGUCAUUCACCCCGGUCCAAUCUGAUCCAUAGCACGGCUACCACAAAUCACUAUCAAACUAAUACCACUUUUGUUGUUGUUAUGUAGGUGUAACUUCAUUUCUGUUAUUUCAUUUGGCAGGAGAAUUUUAAGAAAGAAGACAAAGUGAGCAUUGUUCUGUCACAUAAGCUAGCGGCAAUUUGGGAUCGCCGACAUCAAUUACCACAACCGCCAUCAAUCGGUGAUAGCUACGGGAAGUCUUAAUAGGAUGCUUCGGAUCAACGUGGCAAGAGUAUCCUCAUCUGGUUGUUGAUGAUCUUCUGCUACUGCCAUUGAAAGGGAAAAGGAAACGAGGGAUGGUAGCCCGGGGCUUGGUGAUUUUUUUCUAUCUUUGAUGAAGAGUGGGAACAGAAGAUGGUGUUGUCAUAGGUGUUGGUUUGCACUAUAUUUUAGGCACUAUUGAGUAUAUUCCUUUGUGUUUGCUUAUUGGUACAAUAAAUUGUCUAUUUUUACAAGGCAUAUCUUUUCAAUCCAA